AUGAAGGGCCUCAUAGUUCGGCUGUGGCCUAAGGAGGCGAUGCCUGGGAGCUACUUCGGUCUGGUGCAGUGGCUGGUGGACGCCUGUCCAUGGAUUGAAGUCAUCAAGCACUCCGCCUGCAUUGAGGGUGCCUGUCGGGCCCUUGCCCGUGCUAAAGUGCAGUGGGGCAAGAUGGACGCUGAGAAGCUUGUGACGGACCCGCCACCGCCGGGCAAGGAGUAUCGCACGCCCGAGAUGUAUUAUAAGGGCAUCCUGAAGGGUGCCUGCAUUAUAGCGGAUGAGUGCUCCAAAGAUGUAAUUUUUGAGUAG
rnacentral:rRNA from 1 species